rnacentral:rRNA from 1 species
AUGAACGCUGGCGGCGUGCCUAAUACAUGCAAGUCGAGCGAACAGAUGAGGAGCUUGCUCCUCUGACGUUAGCGGCGGACGGGUGAGUAACACGUGGAUAACCUACCUAUAAGACUGGGAUAACUUCGGGAAACCGGAGCUAAUACUGGAUAAUAUAUUGAACCGCAUGGUUCAAUAGUGAAAGACGGUUUUGCUGUCACUUAUAGAUGGAUCCGCGCCGCAUUAGCUAGUUGGUAAGGUAACGGCUUACCAAGGCAACGAUGCGUAGCCGACCUGAGAGGGUGAUCGGCCACACUGGAACUGAGACACGGUCCAGACUCCUACGGGAGGCAGCAGUAGGGAAUCUUCCGCAAUGGGCGAAAGCCUGACGGAGCAACGCCGCGUGAGUGAUGAAGGUCUUCGGAUCGUAAAACUCUGUUAUUAGGGAAGAACAAAUGUGUAAGUAACUAUGCACGUCUUGACGGUACCUAAUCAGAAAGCCACGGCUAACUACGUG